GACGAACGCUGGCGGCGUGCUUAACACAUGCAAGUCGAACGGAUCAUCUUACACUUGUGUUUGGUGGUUAGUGGCGAACGGGUGAGUAACACGUGAGCAACCUGCCCUUCACUGGGGGAUAACGGGAAGAAAUUCUUGCUAAUACCGCAUGUACACCGACUGUCGCAUGGUGGUUGGUGGAAAGUUUUUUCGGUGGGGAUGGGCUCGCGGCCUAUCAGCUUGUUGGUGGGGUAAUGGCCUACCAAGGCUUUGACGGGUAGCCGGCCUGAGAGGGCGACCGGCCACACUGGGACUGAGAUACGGCCCAG
rnacentral:rRNA from 1 species